rnacentral:rRNA from 1 species
GGUAGCGAAAUUCCUUGUCGGGUAAGUUCCGACCUGCACGAAUGGUGUAACCAUGGCCUCGCUGUCUCCACCCGAGACUCAGUGAAAUUGAAAUUGCAGUGAAGAUGCUGUGUACCCGCACCUAGACGGAAAGACCCCGUGAACCUUUACUACAGCUUGGCACUGAACAUUGACCCUACAUGUGUAGGAUAGGUGGGAGACUAUGAAGCAUUGUCGCUAGAUGAUGUGGAGUCUACCUUGAAAUACCACCCUUGUACGUUUGAUGUUCUAACAUUGCGCCCUAAUCGGGCGUGUGGACAGUGUCUGGUGGGUAGUUUGACUGGGGCGGUCUCCUCCCAAAGCGUAACGGAGGAGCACGAAGGUUGGCUAAUCCUGGUCGGACAUCAGGAGGUUAGUGCAAUGGCAUAAGCCAGCUUAACUGCGAGACAGACACGUCGAGCAGGUACGAAAGUAGGUCAUAGUGAUCCGGUGGUUCUGAAUGGAAGGGCCAUCGCUCAACGGAUAAAAGGUACUCCGGGGAUAACAGGCUGAUACCGCCCAAGAGUUCAUAUCGACGGCGGUGUUUGGCACCUCGAUGUCGGCUCAUCACAUCCUGGGGCUGAAGUCGGUCCCAAGGGUAUGGCUGUUCGCCAUUUAAAGUGGUACGCGAGCUGGGUUUAGAACGUCGUGAGACAGUUCGGUCCCUAUCUUCCGUGGGUGUAGGAUACUUGAGAGGAGUUGCCCCUAGUACGAGAGGACCGGGGUGAACGAUCCACUGGUGGACCAGUUGUUAUGCCAAUAGCAGUGCUGGGUAGCUAUGAUCGGACAGGAUAACCGCUGAAGGCAUCUAAGCGGGAAGCCCCCCUCAAAACAAGGUAUCCCUGAGAGCCGAGGUAGACCACCUCGUCGAUAGGCCAGAGAUGUAAGCGUGGUAACACGUUCAGUUGACUGGUAC